GGCUCAAGUCUUCCCAAAUGCUAUAUGGAAGCUUAUCUCGUAUCCUUAUCAAGGUUGAUGAAUCAACGUCAAUAUAAUGUGGGCCACCUGGCAUUAUCUUGGCUCCCGGCCAGUUCUUCAUCCUAUAUAAAGAGCCACCAGCUCCUUCCCUCAAAGCAUCCCUGUGAGAGUCAAGCUUUGCAACGCUGCAGUGACCGAAUCCAACCGUCCAACCAUGAGGUUCCUCUAUCUUCUCUUUGCAGUGGCCCUCUUUUGCAGUAUCCAAGCUGUCACCUCAGUCCGCCUUGGCUCCGAUGGAUGCAUACAGAAGGAAGGCAAAUGCUACUUCACUUCCUGUCCUCGUGGGACUACGAGCAUCGGACGCUGCGACGCAGUAUAUCGCUGCUGCAAAUGGUGAGGUGGCUGUGUCCUUUACAAAAACGCAUCCUCUGUGCCUUUGCAGGUGUCUCUUCCAGCAAAGGAUAGGGUGCCUCUCGUGCUUAGGUUGGGCACUUCUGUCCUGUGCCAUCCACCUCCUCUUUCACAACAGAAACAGGUGUCCAGCUAGGAAGAGCACGUCUUCAGCUGUGCUGGCCCAGGUGGAAAUGGUCCCCCACCAAGAAGCCUGCCUAGAACCAUGGUUCUUCUGCCUUAAAAAAAAUAAAAAUAAAACGAAGCUGCUCA
rnacentral:lncRNA from 1 species